GAUGAACGCUGACAGAAUGCUUAACACAUGCAAGUCUUUGGCGAAGCUGUGCUUGCACCGCCUAGCCAAGGCGGACGGGUGAGUAACGCGUAAGGAACUUGCCCUGCAGUCAGGGAUAACAGACGGAAACGACUGAUAAGACCUGGUAAAGUCAGGCGGACUCCUGUCCAGCCUGAUGAAAAGAGAUGCUGCAGGAGAGCCUUGCGUCCUAUUAGCUUGUUGGUGGGGUAACGGCCCACCAAGGCGAUGAUAGGUAGCCGGCCUGAGAGGGUGGACGGCCACAAGGGGACUGAGAUACGGCCCUUACUCCUACGGGAGGCAGCAGUGGGGAAUAUUGGACAAUGGGGGCAACCCUGAUCCAGCAAUUCUGUGUGCACGAUGAAGGUUUUCGGAUUGUAAAGUGCUUUCAGCAGGGAAGAAAAAAAUGACGGUACCUGCAGAAGAAGCGACGGCUAAAUACGUG
rnacentral:rRNA from 1 species